UACAGAGGUCUCAAGCGUUGUUCGGAUUCAUUGGGCGUAAAGGGUGCGUAGGUGGCGCCGUAAGUCGGGUGUGAAAUUUCGGAGCUUAACUCCGAAACUGCAUUCGAUACUGCGGUGCUUGAGGACUGGAGAGGAGACUGGAAUUCAUGGUGUAGCAGUGAAAUGCGUAGAGAUCAUGAGGAAGACCAGUGGCGAAGGCGGGUCUCUGGACAGUUCCUGACGCUCAUGCACGAAGGCCAGGGGAGCAAACGGG
rnacentral:rRNA from 1 species